rnacentral:rRNA from 1 species
CUUGAAAAAUAUAAGAGGUCCAGCCUGCCCAGUGACAAAGUUCAACGGCCGCGGUACCCUAACCGCGCGAAGGUAGCAUAAUCACUUGUUCUUUAAAUAGGGACUAGUAUCAAUGGCAUCACGAGGGCUGCACUGUCUCCUUUCUCCAAUCAGUGAAACUGAUCUCCCCGUGAAGAAGCGGGGAUUUUGAUAUAAGACGAGAAGACCCCAUGGAGCUUCAAGCAACGAAUUUACCUUUAACUCGUAUUUCUACUAAUUUCAAAAGCCUAAAUUCUAGCUUUUGGUUGGGGGGACCGCGGAGUAUAACCCAACCUCCGCAACUAACGGGCUUUGCCCUAAUCCAUGAGCCACACCUCUAAGAAUCAAUAAAUUGAUGCCUUUGACCCGAAAACUCGAUCAAUGGACCA